GACGAACGCUGGCGGCGUGCUUAACACAUGCAAGUCGAACGGACAGGCCCUGCUUUUGUGGGGUUCUCGAGUGGCGAACGGGUGAGUAACACGUGAGUAACCUGCCCUUGACUUUGGGAUAACUUCAGGAAACUGGGGCUAAUACCGGAUAGGAUCUCCUGCUGCAUGGUGGGGGUUGGAAAGUUUCGGCGGUUGUGGAUGGACUCGCGGCUUAUCAGCUUGUUGGUGGGGUAGUGGCUUACCAAGGCUUUGACGGGUAGCCGGCCUGAGAGGGUGACCGGCAACAUUGGGACUGAGAGACGGCCCAGACUCCUACGGGAGGCAGCAGUGGGGAAUAUUGAAGAAUGGGCGGAAGCCUGAUGAAGAAACGCCGCGUGCGGGAUGACGGCCUUCGGGUGGUAAACCGAUUUCGCCUGUGACGAAGCGUGAGUGACGGUAAUGGGUAAAGAAGCACCGGCUAACUACGUG
rnacentral:rRNA from 1 species